GAUGAACGCUGGCGGCGUGCCUAAUACAUGCAAGUCGAGCGAACGGACGAGAAGCUUGCUGUUCUGAUGUUAGCGGCGGACGGGUGAGUAACACGUGGAUAACCUACCUAUAAGACUGGGAUAACUUCGGGAAACCGGAGCUAAUACCGGAUAAUAUUUUGAACCGCAUGGUUCAAAAGUGAAAGACGGGCUUGCUGUCACUUAUAGAUGGAUCCGCGCUGCAUUAGCUAGUUGGUAAGGUAACGGCUUACCAAGGCAACGAUGCAUAGCCGACCUGGGAGGGUGAUAGGCCACACUGGAACUGAGACGCGGUCCAGACUCCUGCGGGAGGCAGCAGUAGGGAAUCUUCCGCAAUGGGCGGAAGCCUGGCGGAGCAACGCCGCGUGAGUGAUGAAGGUCUUCGGAUCGUGAAACUCUGUUAUUAGGGAAGAACAUAUGUGUAAGUAACUGUGCACAUCUUGACGGUACCUAAUCAGGAAGCCACGGCUAACUACGUG
rnacentral:rRNA from 1 species